rnacentral:rRNA from 1 species
GGGUGGCGAGUGGCGGACGGGUGAGUAAUGUCUGGGAAUCUGCCCGAUGGAGGGGGAUAACUACUGGAAACGGUAGCUAAUACCGCAUAACGUCGCAAGACCAAAGAGGGGGACCUUCGGGCCUCUCGCCAUCGGAUGUGCCCAGAUGGGAUUAGCUAGUAGGUGGGGUAACGGCUCACCUAGGCGACGAUCCCUAGCUGGUCUGAGAGGAUGACCAGCCACACUGGAAGUGAGACACGGUCCAGACUCCUACGGGAGGCAGCAGUGGGGAAUAUUGCACAAUGGGCGCAAGCCUGAUGCAGCCAUGCCGCGUGUAUGAAGAAGGCCUUCGGGUUGUAAAGUACU